UACGUAGGGGGCUAGCGUUGUUCGGAAUCAUUGGGCGUAAAGCGCGCGUAGGCGGCCCGGUAAGUCCGCUGUGAAAGUCAAAGGCUCAACCUUUGAAUGUCAGCGGAUACUGCCGGGCUAGAGUCCGGAAGAGGCGAGUGGAACUCCUGGUGUAGCGGUGGAAUGCGCAGAUAUCAGGAAGAACACCAACGGCGAAGGCAGCUCGCUGGGACGGAACUGACGCUGAGGCGCGAAAGCGUGGGGAGCGAACAGG
rnacentral:rRNA from 1 species